UACAGAGGUCCCGAGCGUUGUUCGGAUUCAUUGGGCGUAAAGGGUGUGUAGGAGGUCAGGUAAGUCGGGCGUGAAAUCUCACUGCUUAACAGUGAAACUGCGUUCGAUACUGCUUGGCUAGAGGAUCGGAGGGGGUAUCGGAAUUCAUGGUGUAGCAGUGAAAUGCGUAGAUAUCAUGAGGAACACCGGUGGCGAAAGCGGAUACCUGGAAGAUUCCUGACUCUGAAACACGAAAGCUAGGGGAGCAAACGGG
rnacentral:rRNA from 1 species